UUAUCAAAAUUUAAUUUUAAAGUUUGUAAAUUUUGUUUUUAAAGAGCAAUUAUUAAUCAUUUUACGCCAAAAAUUGAUACGUGGUCUGCAGCAAAUCAUUUAUCAGCCUUAACUGAAGAGCAGGUAUUAGAAGUUGUCCGCAGUAAUUACGAUACUUUGACACUGAAACUUCAGGAUAAUUUAGAUCAGUUCGAACGAUAUUCCGAAAAGCCUCGUGAAUCAUCAUUUUUUACUCAAAUGGUUAGAAACAUCAUAUCCGAAUUUAGACAAAAUUUAAAUUUUACAACAUUAGAAAUGCAUAAUGUGCUUCAAGAAUUUUCUACAAUUAAUUAAAUUUGUUACAUACCCAAGUUUUUAUCUUCAGAUUAAAGAAAGAUGAAUUAUUUGAAAUUUAUCAAAAUGUUUAAAAUUAAUUUUUUGUACGUUAUUAAAAUAAUAUAUCUUUCAUGUUAAACUACAAGUAAUAAAGUUUUUCACACACCUUUCUCUGGAGUAAAUAAAUAUUUAAAAAUUUAGUUGUAAAUUCUUCAUAAGUUCAUGAAUUAAUGUAGGAAAUAUUAAUAUAAAUUUGAAUAUUACAUUUAUUUUUAAGUGAGAAUGAUUGUUUUUCUCAAAUUAUAUUUAUAAAAAGAUUUUCUUUUACAAAAUCAGGUUUCACUUUAGUUUUGUGAUGUAUUAAAAUAUAUUCUUGUAUAUAUUUUUUACUAUUUCUGACUUCAGGAAUCAAAUAAAUUCUCUAAAAAAUUAGAAAAAUUUUUGAAAUACUCCAAAAUUUAAUAAUUUUUAAAUCAAAAUUCUAUAUUCUUUUCAAACAGAGAAAGGAUUUAAACUUGUAAGAUUAAUAUUUGAAGAUAGUAAUCCUAUUUUCAUGAAUUAAUAAUUUUUGUUGGAUGUUAAUGGGGUUUAAGUUAUCUUUAGGAUAAUUUUUAUGAAAAGAUAUUAAGAUAUAAUAAUCAUUAAAUGUUAAUACAAUAAUUUUGCAAUAAAAGUAUUUUGUAAUAAAUUAUAAUUUCCUUUAUUGCAAACAUUAAAAUGCAUUUCCUUUAAUGAUAAUGAGUUGCCUAAAAUGAAGAUAAUUUCAUAAGAAUAUGAAGUUUUCUGAUGAAGGCAUAUCUGUUUAAAUAUUUAUCCCAAGAAAAUUAUUCAGAUUUUUAGAGAAAAAUUUGUACAAUUAUGAGAUUUAAUUAGUUGCAAGAUUAAACUAUUUCAUUGCCAUGGUUCGUUUAAUUUACAUGUUUGUUAUAUAUAUAUAUAUAUAUUGACUGGAUAAGGCCGAUCGAUGUGAAUGUAAUUUAUAUUAAUUAUCUACACAUAUCAGAAAUUAUCCAUAACCGGUAUUUUUUCAUGUGUUCUGUAUAAUUAAACGCUGUAGAAUGCUGGACAUUGAGAAUGAUUUUCAUAUAUGUGCAGCCGUUUUUAUGAGACAUGUAUAUAAAGUAUGUAUUGAUUUAAUGUUUUAUUAAAAAUAUAACCAAAUUA